UUAAGUUCAGCGGGUAGUCCUACCUGAUUUGAGGUCAAAUUGUCAUGUAUUUGUCCGAAUGAACAGACAGUUAGAAGCAGUGCACAACCCAUUGCAAACAUCCACGGCGUAGAUAAUUAUCACACCAAAUAGACAGUCCACGCGGGGCACCAGCUAAUGCAUUUAAGGGGAGCUGACUUCUGAAGAAGCCAGCAAAAGAG
rnacentral:misc_RNA from 1 species